rnacentral:rRNA from 1 species
UACGUAGGGUGCAAGCGUUCAUCGGAAUUCCUGGGCGUAAAGCGUGCGCAGGCGGUGAUGUAAGACAGGUGUGAAAUCCCCGGGCUUAACCUGGGAACUGCAUUUGUGACUGCAUCGCUGGAGUGCGGCAGAGGGGGAUGGAAUUCCGCGUGUAGCAGUGAAAUGCGUAGAUAUGCGGAGGAACACCGAUGGCGAAGGCAAUCCCCUGGACCUGUACUGACGCUCAUGCACGAAAGCGUGGGGAGCAAACAGG